rnacentral:rRNA from 1 species
GACGAACCGAGCAAACGUUAUUCGGAAUCACUGGGCUUAAAGGGCGCGUAGGCGGGUGAUCAAGUCCGUGGUGAAAUCCUCCAGCUUAACUGGAGAACGGCCGCGGAUACUGGUCACCUAGAGGAAGGUAGGGGCAUCUGGAACUGGUGGUGGAGCGGUGAAAUGCGUUGAUAUCAUCAGGAACUCCGGUGGCGAAGGCGAGAUGCUGGCCCUUUUCUGACGCUGAGGCGCGAAAGCCAGGGGAGCGAACGGG